rnacentral:rRNA from 1 species
AGUGAACGCUGGCGGUAGGCCUAACACAUGCAAGUCGAACGGCAGCACAGUAAGAGUUUGCUCUUACGGGUGGCGAGUGGCGGACGGGUGAGGAAUACAUCGGAAUCUACUUUUUCGUGGGGGAUAACGUAGGGAAACUUAUGCUAAUACCGCAUACGACCUACGGGUGAAAGCAGGGGAUCUUCGGACCUUGCGCGAUUGAAUGAGCCGAUGUCGGAUUAGCUAGUUGGCGGGGUAAAGGCCCACCAAGGCGACGAUCCGUAGCUGGUCUGAGAGGAUGAUCGGCCACACUGGAACUGAGACACGGUCCAGACUCCUACGGGAGGCAGCAGUGGGGAAUAUUGGACAAUGGGCGCAAGCCUGAUCCAGCCAUACCGCGUGGGUGAAGAAGGCCUUCGGGUUGUAAAGCCCUUUUGUUGGGAAAGAAAAGCAGCAGAUUAAUACCCCGCUGUUCUGACGGUACCCAAAGAAUAAGCACCGGCUAACUUCGUG